rnacentral:rRNA from 1 species
GACGAACGCUGGCGGCGUGCUUAACACAUGCAAGUCGAACGGAAAGGCCCUGCUUGCAGGGUACUCGAGUGGCGAACGGGUGAGUAACACGUGGGUGAUCUGCCCUGCACUUCGGGAUAAGCCUGGGAAACUGGGUCUAAUACCGGAUAGGAGCCAUUUUUCGUGUGAUGGUUGGAAAGUUUUUUCGGUGUAGGAUGAGCUCGCGGCCUAUCAGCUUGUUGGUGGGGUAAUGGCCUACCAAGGCGGCGACGGGUAGCCGGCCUGAGAGGGUGGACGGCCACAGUGGGACUGGGAUACGGCCCAGACUCCGACGGGAGGCAGCAGUGGGGAAUAUUGCACAAGGGGCGCAAGCCUGAUGCAGCGACGCCGCGGGGGGGAUGACGGCCUUCGGGUUGUAAACUCCUUUCGCUAGGGACGAAGCUUUUUGUGACGGUACCUAGAUAAGAAGCACCGGCUAACUACGUG